ACCCGAUUAGUUCAGUUGAUUAGAGCAUGGUGCUAAUAACACCAAGGUUGUGGGUUUGAUCCCCGUACCGGCCA
rnacentral:tRNA from 1 species